AUUGAACGCUGGCGGCAGGCCUAACACAUGCAAGUCGAACGAGUGGCGGACGGGUGAGUAAUGUCUGGGAAACUGCCUGGUGGAGGGGGAUAACUACUGGAAACGGUCGCUAAUCCCGCAUACCAUCGGAUGUGCCCAAAUGGGAUUAGCUAGUGGGUGGGGUAAAGGCUCACCUAGGCGACGAUCCCUAGCUGGUCUGAGAGGACGACACGCCACACUGGGACUGAGACACGGGCCAGACUCCUACGGGAGGCAGCAGUGGGGAAUAUUGCACAAUGGGCGAAAGCCUGAUGCAGCCAUGCCGCGUGUAUGAAGAAGGCCUUCGGGUUGUAAAGUACUUUCAGCGGGGAUGCGUUACCCGCAGAAGAAGCACCGGCUAACUCCGUGCCAGCAGCCGCGGUAAUAC
rnacentral:rRNA from 1 species